rnacentral:rRNA from 1 species
AGAGUUUGAUUAUGGCUCAGGAUGAACGCUAGCUACAGGCUUAACACAUGCAAGUCGAGGGGCAGCAUUUGAAAGCUUGCUUCAAAGAUGGCGACCGGCGCACGGGUGAGUAACGCGUAUCCAACCUUCCCCUUAGUAGGGCAUAGCCCGGCGAAAGUCGGAUUAAUACCCUAUGUUUUCCGUUGAGGACAUCUGAAGUGGAACAAAGAUUCAUCGCUAAGGGAUGGGGAUGCGUCUGAUUAGGUAGUCGGCGGGGUAACGGCCCACCGAGCCAACGAUCAGUAGGGGUUCUGAGAGGAAGGUCCCCCACAUUGGUACUGAGACACGGACCAAACUCCUACGGGAGGCAGCAGUGAGGAAUAUUGGUCAAUGGGCGCGAGCCUGAACCAGCCAAGUAGCGUGCAGGAAGACGGCCCUAUGGGUUGUAAACUGCUUUUGCAGGGGAAUAAAGUGAGGCACGUGUGCCUUUUUGUAUGUACCCUGAGAAUAAGGACCGGCUAAUUCCGUGCCAGCCGCUGC